rnacentral:rRNA from 1 species
UCCGAAGGGGGCUAUCGUUGUUCGGAAUUACUGGGCGUAAAGCGCGUGUAGGCGGGCCGUUAAGUCGGGGGUGAAAGCCCAGAGCUCAACUCUGGAACUGCCUUCGAUACUGGCGGCCUGGAGCAUGAUAGAGGCGAGUGGAAUUGCGAGUGUAGAGGUGAAAUUCGUAGAUAUUCGCAGGAACACCAGUGGCGAAGGCGACUCGCUGGAUCAUUGCUGACGCUGAGACGCGAAAGCGUGGGGAGAAAACAGG